UUAAGAUACUUCAAGUACGCAAACGUGCAGUCGAGCGGAAGAUGGGAGCUUGCUCCCUGAUGUUAGCGGCGGACGGGUGAGUAACACGUGGGUACCACCAGCCAAAUAAAGAACUGAGAAAUAACUCCGGGAAAACGGGGCGUAUAAAACGGGGAGGGUUUGUUAAAACCGCAUGGGUUCAAAAAUAAAAAAGGGGGGCUUCGGAUUCACCAAUUAAAAGAGUGGACCCGGCGGGCGCAUUAACGUUAGUUGGUGGAGGUAAAGGCUCUAACCAAGGCGAAACGAUGCGUUACCCGACCUGAAGAGGGUGAUCGGGCCACAAUUGGGACUGAGACACGGCCCAAGACUCCUACGGGAGGCAGCAGUAGGGAAUCUUCCGCAAUGGACGAAAGUCUGACGGAGCAACGCCGCGUGAGUGAUGAAGGUUUUCGGAUCGUAAAGCUCUGUUGUUAGGGAAGAACAAGUACCGUUCGAAUAGGGCGGUACCUUGACGGUACCUAACCAGAAAGCCACGGCUAACUACGUGCCAGCAGCCGCGGUAAUACGUAGGUGGCAAGCGUUGUCCGGAAUUAUUGGGCGUAAAGGGCUCGCAGGCGGUUUCUUAAGUCUGAUGUGAAAGCCCCCGGCUCAACCGGGGAGGGUCAUUGGAAACUGGGGAACUUGAGUGCAGAAGAGGAGAGUGGAAUUCCACGUGUAGCGGUGAAAUGCGUAGAGAUGUGGAGGAACACCAGUGGCGAAGGCGACUCUCUGGUCUGUAACUGACGCUGAGGAGCGAAAGCGUGGGGAGCGAACAGGAUUAGAUACCCUGGUAGUCCACGCCGUAAACGAUGAGUGCUAAGUGUUAGGGGGUUUCCGCCCCUUAGUGCUGCAGCUAACGCAUUAAGCACUCCGCCUGGGGAGUACGGUCGCAAGACUGAAACUCAAAGGAAUUGACGGGGGCCCGCACAAGCGGUGGAGCAUGUGGUUUAAUUCGAAGCAACGCGAAGAACCUUACCAGGUCUUGACAUCCUCUGACAAUCCUAGAGAUAGGACGUCCCCUUCGGGGGCAGAGUGACAGGUGGUGCAUGGUUGUCGUCAGCUCGUGUCAUGAGAUGUUGGGUUAAGUCCCGCAACCAACGCAACCCUUGAUCUUAGUUGCCACCAUUCAAUUGGGCACUCUUAAGGUAACUCCCGGUGACCAAACCCGAGAAAAGAUGUGG
rnacentral:rRNA from 2 species